rnacentral:rRNA from 1 species
AGAGUGAACGCUGGCGGCGUGCUUAACACAUGCAAGUCGAGCGAAGCGGCAGCUGUAGCAAUACAGUAUGUGCUUAGCGGCAGACGGGUGAGUAACACGUAGACAAUCUACCUCUUAGCGGGGGAUAGCCCACCGAAAGGUGGGGUAAUACCGCGUAAGAUUCUUUUGUGGCAUCACGAGAGAAUGAAACAUCCGCAAGGAUGGCUGAGAGAGGAGUCUGCGGCCUAUCAGCUUGUUGGUGAGGUAACGGCUCACCAAGGCUACGACGGGUAUCCGGACCUGAAAGGGUGACCGGACACACUGACACUGAGACACGGGUCAGACU